CACACACACACAUAUUUUCAAGUCAUUGAUGUUUGAAUCUGUAGAUGCAGAAUCCGUGGAUACAAAAGGCUAACUGUAUGUGUCGAUCUACCUCCUUCUAAUUCAGAUUGAGAAAUUGAGAAAUAACUAUUUGAAAAGUCUUUUCUGUUGCUACUUUAUAUAAUUGGUAUUCAUGAGAUCACUGAUGCACUACAUGGAAGUUCUUUAGAACUUCCCGUCACAAAUAGGCCUUUGUGAGAUCAUUGGCUCUCUUGCUGAAGGAAGGAAUCUAGCAUGCGCUAACCUUGAGUUUGGAUGACUUUCUGCAUCUCAUCUAAUAGCACUGUGAAGAAAAGAUUGUGACCCAGCAAGAGAAGUUUGAAAAAGGAUUUGGUUUAAGAGCAGGUGUAAAGGGACAAAUCAGAAUGUUUCCUAAUAUCCAUGACAAGAACCAAUCCAGGUGGACUUUCGAUUUAAAGGAAAAAUUCACCACAAACCUGGAGUUAGCUCUAGCACGGAAUCAAGUGCACACAUCCCGGAAACCCAAAUCUCCUGAAAAAGAAGGCUGGAUGAGGAAGCCUCCUGAUCUUAGCUAUAAACUAUACAUUACUCCAAACCUUAUGAGGAAACGCUCUGAAAAGCCGAAAGAACUGAAGAAGCAGAUGUCAAGAGCCAGCACCAUACAGGAUGAACUGAUUAGUAUAAGGUCCAGGUUGUUUGACCAGGUCAUGGAACAGAAGAAGGAGCAGCCAAAAAUCAUUACAAGGUUUCCACGUGUGGGCCCCUAUGAAGCCCAGUUAUCAUUUGUGAAGAGCGGGAAGUAUAAGAGCACCAUAUACAAAGAUCCCACACCCUAUGAAUAUAGACAGUAUGAAAUAGGUCCACGAAAGUUUGUGACAAGUUAUGCCAGAGACCCUCAGAAUCUAAAGCUGAAAUUGCAGGGUUUAAGCCAAGUUCAUGGAUUGCAUCCACUGACAGAAAAGCUGCCUUCUAGAUCAAGACAAAAAUUCAUUACCUACAAGCCAGUGGAACGCAAGUGGGAUUCAAGGCUGAUUCUACCAAAAGAACCUUGGCCGGCCAAAACAGUUUCUUUUACAAGGUUCAAAAGUGAACGAGGUACACACACUACCUUCCUAGAACGCAUUGAAGAAACAUUAAGCAAGCUAUGGCAGAAAGAGGCAGAUCAGAAGCAGACACCAAGCAAGAAGAAAAAAGAAGCAAAGAAUACAUGGCAAAAAAGCUUAAAUGUAGAUGUUUCCACCAAAAAAUACUCCAAGAAGGAGCAGCAGGACAGCAGUGAAAACCAGCAAAAAGGGUGGCAUUCUUGGUCAUCAUCCAUAGGAAUAGGCAAAGGGUUGCCAAAGCCAGCGUGUCUUCCAUCAUAUAUAAAACCAGAACCUUUGGGUUUCCUGUUGCCAACUGGCAUAGCUCAGAGUGUUAAAGAACUGAGGUGCAAAUAAUGGGAACAAACUAGGAAGCAUUUUGGAAACAUGUGAGUGUUUAAUGAUAGCGGCAUUCCGAUAAAUGCAAAAACUACACCACUAACUCCUACUCAAAGAAUGCAACAACUGUAAAAACAAAUACACACACAGAACAAAUGUAUCACUAUUUAUAUAUAUUACACUCUUAGAUACAGUUGCAUCCAGAAUGGUUUAUUUACAGUACUACAAUACAAGUUGCAAAAACUGUAUACAAGUGUGGAAAUAUUUAACCCUCUCCUCAGAAGAAGAUGAGAAAGAAGAAGAAAAAACAAAGAAAUAAAACAACUUUGAAUAUGGAAGAGUGGAAAUAUAUUACAAAAGAAGAACUGCUUUAGGAGAUGAGAACUAAACUAUAUAUAGAAAUACAGCACAAUUUCUGUAUGAGGGGAAAAUCCCAAAGUAGGUGUGCAAUGACACUUAAAACAUUGGAGUAGAGAAGAAGGCGUAGAAUCAAACAAAACAAACAAAAAUGCUGUUUGCUAAAUCAAAAGAAUGGACUGGAAGCAGAUUAGUAAUCCAACCUCAUAAUAUAAUCUCAGAGUAGGUUUCCAAACAAUGUGAUCUCAGUUGUAAUUAAUGGCAUUUUGGAAUAAAAUGGGAAUUAUUUAUUCAAGAU
rnacentral:lncRNA from 11 species